ensembl:lncRNA
CUCACAAACACGUCAAACAUAGUUAGGAACUUCAUGAAAUUGAUUCAGGGAAAAAUUUCCCACCACAUUUUCGCAGUGUUACAGGAUGGUUUUUGUUCAGUUUGAGAAGUUUGAGAAAAGUAGCCUUAGUUGAGUAGCUCAGAGAGUAGGGAACCUCACAGAGUUCAGACACCCAGCCGGAAGUAUGGUUCAUCUACUUCACAGUUAACACAGUGGAUAGGAUAUGUUUUUUUCUACUACCAUUGCCCAAGUAAACCCAAGCAACUAUAGUAGUACAGUGGUGGAGUACCUGCACAAUCUCAGUGCUGGUUGUUUAAGAUGGGGAAUUGUUGUUUAACUGCAUUUACAUUCUUGAUGCUCUCAGAUCAGAGAGGUUGUUAGAUCUGGAAGUGAAGAUGAUGAAUUCAUGUCAUCCUAUCUUACAAAUACUGCCAUUGUAGUCAGACACAUUUCUAAUCCUAUCGUCACAAAGUUUAUUUCUUUCUCAUUGCACAUUAGUUUUCAAUUAGGUGUUCAUUACACGAUAAUAUUCCAUUCUUUUAUAGCUUUCUUAAUGAGUCUUGUUCCAACAAAGGCUUUAGUAAUGAAAAUACCUGUACCCCUAGAGUGGUAAAUAUGGAGAACGUAGUUCUCUAAUUCCACCUGCUAAAAACGCUUUGUCUUUCAGAUUUUCCAACAAGAGAGAUUUUAAAGUUGUCAGAAGUGGAGAAUCUUGCCUUCUGUUUGUUAACAUUCAGAAGGUCAAUUCCUUUGAAUCUGCUUGUGAGACAGACUUGUUUAAAGAGUAAUCACCAAGGGCUGUGAUUGAUCUAUAUCACAGUUAGCAAUUUCUGAGUACGUGCCAUUUCAUUUUCUCAGGGUGUCAUUUUUUGCUAAAUUUAAACAACUCUGAAGAAUUAAAAUAUUUGGAGGAUUCUCUGACUCUAUCUUCUCAAUCAAUUAUACUGAGUGAUUACAAGUGGAAAGACCUGGGCUGUUGAAAUGUGCUGUUUUAUAAUGAAGAAAUGCAGCUAAGGCAUUUGAUAUGAGACAAAAGCUUCACAGUGCUCUUGAAAAGAAGAACCAGGAGUACAAAACAGUCAAUAUAUGAGGAGAAUACAUGGUGGAAAAACUGUUUCUUUCCGUAAAUACAUAUUGCAUUUCUUUUUGCUUCUUCUGCUUCUGUAGAACUACCUCCUCUGCUUUUUAAAUGUCAUCCAUAUUUAUCAGACUGCAUGGUUCUUGACAUUUAGGAAUAUUUUCUCGUCAAAUUGUAACUGAAGCUUUGACAAAGGGUACUAAUUAUCAAGGGAGUGGAUUUUUUUUUCCUUUCUCUUUCCUUUUUUUUUUUUUUAUUUCUCUCUUUAUUUCUUUCUUUUAUUUUUAUUUAUUUAUUUAUUAAGGGGUAGUAGGCUAUAGAGGAAGUGUAAAUUAUCAACCACUGCCAACGUUAUGGUAGCAGUCAUUCUUCCCUUACUGUUGCAACAGUGUUAAAACUAAGAAGUUAAAUGUUUGCUAAAGCAUGUAUUAAAGGUAAUGAGUGUUGAAUGGCAGUAGAUCUUAAAUGACAGAGAAGUCAUUAAGUUACCUACUUAAGCAAAAAGAGUUACCACCUGUUAGAAAUACAAACAGUCCCAACUGAAGUAAAUUUUAUGAGUACUUUUAACUUAAGUGCUGAGUAACUAUGCUCUCUACUCACCAAUGGUGAUUUCAUGAAGUAUAGGAUACACAACUUGUAUACUACAAUAUGGUGAAUAAAAAAUGAGAGCAUAAAAAUCUGCUUAAGAAAAUAUUCUGUUACUAAACAGAAAGCUGCAUUGUUUUAAAAGUCUUACAAGUAUACUGUGAUGUUUAUCAACAAAAUUUAUAGUAUUGGAAAUAAUACAUUUUCUAGUCCUCAGUAGCAGUAAAGCCAUAUUGGAUCCUGAUCAGAAACAUGAUGUUUGUUUUUCAGAAGUCCCUUUCAUGAUUCUCCAAAUGAAGGGUAUAGAUAUACAGCUAAAAUCUACUCAUCCAUUUUCAGUUGCCUAGCAAUGGCACAACUGCAAAGGAAAGAAUGGUGCUGCUGUGAGCUGAGGAACAGUCCACUACUUCUCAAGAUUGUGAAAGAGCUACACUGUACUAAUUCUAUGAUAUUACUCCCAAGUAUGGUUGAUAUAGCUGAACUUCUAUAAAUGCUAUAGUCAUGAGGCAUGUCAGGUAAGAUAGACAACACUUCUGGUUUCCACAUUCAUCUACCUUUGAAUACUUUUGCCCUGCAUGUAGACCACAGAAAUUUCAUGAUGUGAACAACCUUAGGGAAACAUAUGAAAGCCACUGAAGAAUGGUGUAAAUAGGAGAAAAGAGAGACAUAAAUAGGAUUAAAAUGUAGCAGACACCCUGAGAUAAAUUACUGCCUUGUACUUUAGUGUCAUUUUCAUUUUAAAGUAGUCCUUGUGAGGGAAAGCAAGAGUCAUUUUCAAUCUGGCACUUGAAUACUGAAUUAAUGGAGAAAUGGAAAACCUUGCUGUGGCUUCAGCAGAGAUCCAAAUAUUUUUUCCAGAGACCUUUUCUGCUCCACAUUUAAACAACAUUUGUCUUAGAGAUGCUUGAAUCUAUUUAAAGGUAAACUAAGAUCUCAUUUAGCCUUGUGAUAUUUUCAAGAUUCACCAAGAAGCCGUGACAGUAUGAAGAGAUCAAAAUUAUUAUACUCUAGUGAAAAACAGCUUUGGGAAAAAUGAACUGGUAAACUGACAUUAAAGCCAAUGCUUCAAUAAAAUAUACACCACUAGCACUUUGGCCUAUCUACCAUUCUUAAGGUGCUCCUGAUCUCUUAUUUGAAACUCAUGAGAAUGUUGAGGGAGGCUAUGGAAAUACUGAGGGAAUUAUCUGCAUUAAACUGGGAUCUGAUAAAUUAUCUGCAUUACACUGGGAUCUGGUAAAUAAAAGAAAUUACCUUUUCGGGUAAUUUAUGUCCAAGGUUGAAGAAGGCCUCUGAGAUUAUUUAACUCAACUGUUCACCUACCAUCACCAUUUCCCCACUAAACCAUGACUCUUUGUUCAACGUCUAAACAUUUCUUGAACACCUCCAGGGAUGAUGACUCCACUACCUCCCUGGGCAGCCCAUUCCAGCACCUGACCACUCUUUAGAUGACAUUUUUCUUAAUAUCCAAUCUGAAUCUUCCCCGGUGCAACUUGAGGUUGUUCUCUUUAGUUGUAUUGCUACUUAUGUGGGAGAAGAGGCCAACCCCACCUCAUCACAACCUCCUUUCAAGCAGUUGUAAAGAGCAAUAAGGUCUUCCUUGAGCCUCCUCUUCUCCAGUCCAAACAAUCCCAGUUCCCUCAUAAAGUUCAUGAAAGAAUUUGGUAAAUUCAUGGCCAAAUAUCCAUAAACAGAAACUAAAGCAGGAUACUCACACAUAUACCUUCUAGCAUCACCCGCUGAAUUAUUUUGAGUUCUGGGAGACCACCAGUGGAAAUGGUAGGGUUUGCAUAUUCUUCCUAAGUAAUUUUACCUGUGCCAGACAGAAUACUAGGCUAGAUAGGCCAUCCAUCUGAUGCAGUUGGUGUUUCUUACAUUUGUACUCACAUGUAUAUAUGUGCUCUGACACAACUGAAGUGUACCUACAGCGUAUUCUGUUGCAAGGUACAGACAUAUGUGGGUUUUUUUGUUUUGUUUUGUUUUGUUUUUUGUCGUUGUUUUUUUCUAUCAGGUACAUUAUUGAUCUAGAUAAAAAUAUGUUUUUAAGAGAGCUCUGUAUAUAAGUUAAGGAGCGGAAUUAAUGCGCUGACAUUUUACAAAGUGCCAAUACAAGCUGUUGGACUUAACCUGCUGUCUAGGUUAGUCUAAUUUGGCUUGGCUUUAAAGAGGCUGACUAUUCAGAAUAAUCUGGGUUAAGUUGAUUUUUGCACUAAGCAAACUAAAUCCAAACUGCAAAUCAAUCUUUACUUUGUAUAUACAGAGAGUACGCUAUCUGUUCCAAUGUUUGUUACAUGCUGAAUCAUUCCUCAGUGUGAAUUCUAAGACAAAAAUUCAAAUAGAACUUUCUAGUCCCACUCCUAUUGCCAGUGAGGGACUGCACAUGACGGUUAAUUUCUAAGGGUGCAUCUUCAGUAACUUCAGAUCUGCCUCCAUUAGUAAUGGCUUAUUAAUCUUUUCUGUUAAAUUUAUUGGGAAUUUGGGCUAUUCUGUAAUACUUCAAACAAAGCAGUGCUGUCUUAGUAGCAUCUAAGUAGUACCACUGGGAGUUUAGACAGUAACUUUUUCUAUUCCUCUUCUUCUAUCUGUUAAAUGGAGACUGAAAGGCUUACAGAACUUAGUGUUAUUAAUGUUUGUACAGAUCUCAGGUAAAAAUACCAUAAAAAGGCAAGAUCUGGCUUUAAUAAAAGUUCAGGGCUGUGUCUUAUUUUAUUUAUUUCUUUUUGACCUUUGAAGGGGGUGAAAUCUGAACUUUCUACUGUUCCUAAAUGUAAUUCCUGAUGCUUAUGACUUAGAACUUAAAGUCUCCCGUUUUAGCUGUAGUUAUCAUGAAUUAGUGAUGCAAAUACAUUAUAUUUGAUGCCUUUAAAUUGAGUAUUUGACACUUUAAAACCACAUUAACACUACUGGAGCACUAAGGCUACAAUAACUCGAUUUUAAAAGAUUAUUCCUGUGAAAUCCUAUGAUAGUUUGUAAUUCAAGAGCAACACUUUCUACCUUUGCAUUCUUUAUUCUCAUUGUCUCUUUUCUUCAGUCACCAGAAGAAUCAUGUUACAAAAACAAUGUAGUUAGGUAAGAGGUCCUGGAUAUGUAUGUGGGUGUAUGCAAUACCCUGUACACUCUCACAGUUGAACAGUGAUACAGCAGUUCCUAAACUAGGAAGUAUCUUUCUAGAAGACAUAGUCUUGUAAUAAAAUAUGGUGUAUUCUGUGGGCUGAGACUUCAGCAGAUGUAAUUUUUAAUAACUGCAACCAGCUACAUUUUUAGAAUGCUAUGUUGGUUGAAGAUAAGCGGCUAUCUGGCAGUGCAGAAGUUCAGUUCUCAAUCAGGAGUUUGAUAAGGAGAAUGUUUAUGCUUGUCAGAUCUCUUUUAAAAAGUAAUGGAAUGAUUACAGAAGAAACUUGUUUUCUGGGCUGAAAAGAGACUAGCAAAUAAUUUUAACUUCAUAAGACAACUUCAAUAAAGUUAGAUGCAUUACCAUGAUCAUUUUCAAAAGACUGUUUAACAUGACCAUUUAUAUUAUGACUAAAACAGAUUUCAGGAAGGCAAUACCAGAUGUAUAGAUCUCUAAUGGUAAAAUCAUAUUCAACUACAUAAUAUAUAACAGAUAUAUAUUUUUUUAUACAAAGAAAUAAAGUUUGGAAACAAUUCGUGUAAAAUAAUGAGAUAACCAUUUUGUUGAAAGCAAAGUAUGGGUGCUCUAUUUAAAAGAAUGGAUGGUUCUCAUUACGAUGCCUAUUGUAGGAAAACUACAAGGUGAUACUGCCUUCUGAAAGAUUCCUCCACAUAAUGAAUACUGCUCAAACUUCUAGUCAAUCUAUAUGAAAAGUUACUUCUGGAGACUUCACUUGCAUAAAAGUCACUGUAUCUUGCCAUUAGAAUUCGUUGACAAAUGUAUUUAAUUUAUGUUCGGUGUAAUUGAACUACUCCAUCAUUCCUUCCUGUUUGGACAGUUAUGGCCACUUAGGAGUUUUACGUCACUUUUAACCUUGGAUGAUACCGGUUUUUCUUUUUGAUGGUCCAGAACUAAGAAACUAUAAUUUCAUUGUUCACUCAGCAGUUUUUUUUUGGUUUUUUUUUUUGUCCAUUUAUAUUUUUCCCAAUGUUGGAUCAAUAUAAACUCCUUUAAUAAAGAUAAUGGAAAAUCUCCAUGCUCUUAAUUAAUCCUCUCUUUCCUGUUUUAUAAAUAUUUUUAAAUCUUCCUAUCAUUUUUUCCAUGCUGACAUCUUCAUUUUUUUUUUCUCUUACAGUCUGAUAUUUGGACCCUAUCUUUUCAUAACAUUGAUUAUAUAGAUGCAUCAAUAAAACCUCUAUCUAUAUAUCUGCAUAUAAUUCACCUAUAAAGGUUCUAAAAGAGACAUAUUGCCAGUAAACAUUUAGGCUUUUCCAAUUGGCAUCUUAGGAUGUUCUUUGUCUUACAGGUUGAUAGCAUCAUUUUGAGGGAGGCAAAUAUAUAGAGUACUUCAGGCCUGGAAGAACCUCCAGCAUAACACUAGUAAAGCUCAGGGAUUUACUAGUGGUGAUGAGCUGUCAUCAGGUCUUAAAGGUCUUUAUCUUAAAGAUAGAAAAAGUAAUAAGACAGACUGGACCAUAUGCAUGGGAGGAAACGUCAAUGGUAUCAGAUAUAUAUACGAAUAUUUAAAAAUAUGUGGGGUUAUUUCCCAAUUACUAGUUCAAAGGAAAAAAAAAAGGGGCAAGGAAGAUUAAAAUUUUUGUUUGUUUGUUUGUUUUUUAACUAAAGGAAAAUUAAAAAAAUAAAAAUAAAAAGGAAAAGGAAGAGAAAAACCCUGUACAGAGGAAGAAGCUUUUUCAAUCAAAAUAUUUUUUUUAUCUAGUGUUAGGCAGACAGCCUGCAGAAGAUGACUACCCACUAGCAUUCUAACUUCUCUCUUUAGACAUAUAUCCAAGACUGCUCAUUAGCAUUCCCAAGCAUGUACCAAUUUGAAAAUGUCUUCCUUUCAACUCAGCAAUAUGGAAACCCCAAAGUGCACUUUAUUUGCCUAAUACGUUCCUUCAAGAUGUUCAAAAUCAGUUGUGAGUCUUCUGGUUAUAUUCAAGUGAAAUCCACUCAAAGGAAAAAAAUUCUUUUUACUAAAUAAUGAAGGCAGAGAGUGCAAGAAAAUAUGGUGUUCUGGACUGAGCAGUGGCAAGAAACACAUGGUAUUCUCGUAUGAUUAUAUAUGCAGCACUGUCAUCUUAACAGCAAAGUGUUGUGGUUCUUAUCAAAUCUGAUUACAGAAUCACCAACAGAUAAUAUUAUUUUGCUUGCUAAAAGAAAUAUAUUUUAAAAUGCUCAAAUGAUCACUCAGUAAGUUGAUCAGCCAAAUUCACAAUCAACCAAGAAGAGACCGAUGAGUCCAAUAUUAUUCAGAGCACAAAAAUUUUCCUCCACGUUACUUAUUGUAUUGAUAUUGUUUUUAUUUUCAGCUCCACAAGGAGACAAGGAAAACUCCCUCCAUCCUCCACUCAUAAACAUUACCAGUGUACCUAGAUUUGCACCUUGCUUGUUCUGCUGUGCUAUGUUGAGAUGCUAUUUAUUUCAUCUUGCAUUACAUACUUCCCUGGAAUUAGGAGUGAAUGGAUACCUAGUUACCAGCAAGUCAGUGAUUUUCCUUUGAUCGGAGAACACUCCCACUGUUAGUAGGCUGUGAAAGUUAACAAAAUGUAAAGAACUGGAUCAAAAAAAAGGUAAAUACUGGUUAAAAAAAGUAAAUACAAAAAAUACUCUGUAAUAUGAGCAUGUAAGCUGAAAUUGUAAUCAGGUGGGGUGUAAGUUGUGCUUUAUAAGGCACAAUCAAAGCACAUCAGUAGCUAAUUUGCCUUCAUUUAACUGGUUAAUGGCAUUUUUUAUAACACAGAAGAAUUCAUCCCCUUCCAUCUCAGUUUCCUGUAAAACAGAGCAGCAAUAUUUAUAUACCUCCCAGGGCUAUUGCAAGGAUUCACUAAUUAGAUAUAGAUUUGUUUUCAAAUGGGGUGACUCAACCACUGCUCAGUCUCUCCACUCUGCUCCAGCAGGGUCAGAGCUCAGGCAUCCUGCUUCCUUGGGGGCUCUUUUCUGAGCUUUGGUGAAAUGAUAACAAGGGACUUUGAGAGCUUGCUUUCCUGUACUGCAUGCCAUAUUUCAGGAGAAUUACUAGAUUAUUUAGCAAUAGCUUAAUGAUACAGAAUAGGAAGGAACAUUUUUAGAGCUGGCAUCUUAGUUGUCUGUUCAACAUGCACUGUGUGAGUACACACAGUACAAAUCUCCUCAAAGGAUCUACAGAUGAAAGGAGCUUCCUUGUAGCUUUCUCAACUUUCUUUUUUUGGGAGUUCAGGAUGUGGUUUUCAUCCCAACUUGCAUGUCCAUGCUGUCUUCCAGCCUCUCAGAGACUUCUCUCAACUCCUCAUGCGUUCUGCAACAACUCUUCAAGGGUAACGAGUUGCUACGCAGGAGACCCUGUACACCUGUAGAGUGCAAAAACAAGAAAAAGACCUCUGUAUCCUCCAUUGCUUGGAAGAGAGCAGAGGUAAUCUCAGAGGAGAUUUUCUGAGAAGAUAAUUUUAAA